UACUGUGAUAACUGAAGGAUGGCAGCCAUCUUGCCUUCCAUCAAAGGAGUCUCGUCAUACCCAGGAAGGGAGAUGGAGGUGAAGGAGGACUGUUGAAGAGGUGGCCAGACUCAAACUCUCUCAUUCCUGUGCUGUACUUCUCCUAGAAUAUAGGAAACGUUAUUCCAUCUCUCUCUGCCUUGUUUUGUCACGUAGAAAUAAAGAGGAGUUGGGCAGUUUUCACAGCAGCAUGAAGACUGUUGUACUGAGCAAACGUGUGUUGAGAUCUUUGGAACCUUUAAGAGAUUGAUACUAUUGUGAAGAUGACUUGUUUCAAACCUUGAAAGAGCAGAAGAGUUACGUUUCAUAAUUGAAGAACCUAAGGAGGCACACAGAGGUCCUCAAGCCACACAGCUAAUAGAAGUUCAAAGGAGGCGUAUCCCAGCACUAUGAUCCAGAUAUACAACAUUGCUGGUGCCCUAGAAGUACCAUUGGUGCUCCCCAUCAACCCAGCUAAGAGCGUUAACGUCUUCACUGAUUGGGCAAAACCAGUGGUAGCAUAUAACACAUGUAGUAAAAUGUGGAUGUCACUCUUCACCUCCACUCCCACCCAGCCAUCAAUCCUACUUCCAUCCCCAGAGUUUGUUACACUCAUUGAACAAAGCUGGCUGGCAGAGAAAGAAGAAUGAGACAGACCUACAGAGAGGAGACAAUGAUCAGGGUCUGAUAUUUCCCGAGUUCAGCAACUGGAUCUUCUUCCUUCCUGGAACCCAGUUAUAAUUCUGCCUUGGAUUCCACCAGAUACUGGGUCUGCUUAAACUUGUUUUACUAUUUUCAUUCAAAAGAAUGAGUUCCAGUGUAUCUUCCUUUAAGGCUGAGCCCCAGUAACAUCUAUUCCUAAAUGUUUGCUUGACCACUCCAUCCCCUAGCCUGAACCAGCUUGGUUUGACUGUAAAGUCCACUCACUUAGAAAUUAAACCAAUCACUUUGGUCACUUUGUUUCAAAAUCAUGAUUAUGUAACAUUAUUGGGCAAAGAGAAAUUCUAGAUAGAGAAAUUCUAGCUAAAGAAAUUAAAGAUUGUUGUUGUUAAGUGCCAUCCAGUCAGUCCUGACUCACAAUGACCCUAUGUACAACAGAACAAAACACUGCCUGGUCCUGUGCCAUCUUCACAAUCCUUGGUAUGUUUGAUACCAUUGUUGCCGCCACUGUGUCAAUCAUUGGGGGUCUUCCUCUUUGUCACUCACCAUCUACUUUACCAAAUAUGAUGUCCUUCUCCAGGGACGGGUCCCUCCUGAUAACAUGUCCAAAGUACAUUAGACCAAGUCUCACCAUCCCUGCUUCUAAGGAGUGUUCUGUCUGUACUCCUUCCAAGACAGAUUUGUUCAUUCUUCUGGCAGUCCAUGGUAUAUUCAAUAUUUUUCACCAACAACAUAAUUCAAAGGCAUCAAAUCUUCUUUGGUCUUCCUUAUUCAUUUUCCAGCUUUCGCAUGCAUAUAAGGCAGCCUUUUGGUUAGCAGCCAAAAUGCCAUGGCUUGGGUCAGGCACACCUUAGUCCUCAAAGUGACAUCUGCUCUUGAACACUUUAAAAAUGUCUUUUGCAGCAGAUUUUUCCAAUGCAAUAUUGCUGCUUCCAUGGGCAUUAAUUGUGGACCCAAGUAAAAUGAAAUCCUUUACAACUUCAAUCUUUUCUCCAUUUAUCAUGAUAUUGCUUAUUGGUUCAGUUGUGAGGAUUUUUGUUUCCUUCAGGUUGAGGUGUAAUCCAUACUGAAGGCUAUAGUCUUUGAUCUUCAUCAGUAAGUGCUUCAUGUCCUCUUCACUUUCAGCAAGCAAGGUUGUGUCAUCUGCAUAUUGCAGGUUGUUAGUGAGUCUAUCUCCAAUCCUGAUGCCAAGUUCUUCUUCAUAUAGUUCAGCUUCUCAGAUUAUUUGCUCAGCAUUCAGACUGAAUAUGGUGAAUGGAUACAAUCUUGAUGCACUUUUCCUGCUUUUCAACCACAUAGUAUUCCUUUGUUCUGUCUCUUGGUCUAUGUACACAUUCCACAAAAACAAAAUUAAAACAAACAAACAAAAAAACCAAACCCAUUGCCGUUGAGUUGAUUCUGACCCAUAGGGACCCUAUAGGACUGAGUAGAACUGCCCCAUAGAGUUUCCAAGUAGCACCUGGUGGAUUCAAAUUGCUGUCCUUUUGGUUAGCAGCAGUAGCACUUAACCACUAUACCACCAGGGUUUCCAUGAACACCAUUAGUGUUCUGAAAUUACCAUUUUUUGCAAUGUUACUCAUAAUUUGUAAUGAUCCACACAGUCAAGUGCCUUUGCAUAGUCAAGAAAACACAGGUAAACAUCUUUCUGAUAUUCUCUUCUUUCGGCCAGGAUCCAUCUGACAUCAGCAAUGAUAUCUCUCAUUUCAUGUUCUCCUCUGAAGCUGGCUUGAAUUUCUGGCAGUUCCGUGUUGAUGCACUGCUACAACUCUUUUUGAAUUAUCUUCAGCAUAAUUUUACUUGCAUGUGAUACUAAUGAUAUUGUUCGAUAAUUUCAGCAUUCUAUUUGAAUCACCUUUCUUUGAAAUGGGCACAAGAAUAGAUGUCUUCCAAUUGGUUGACCAGGUAGCUGUCUUCCAAAUGUCUUGGCAUAGACGAGUGAGUGCUUCCAGCACUGCAUACACUUGUUGAAGUAUCUCAAUUGAUAUUCCACCAAUUCCUGCAGCCUUCAAUGCUGCUUGGACUUCUUCCUUCAGUACCAUAGGUUCUUGAUCAUAUGCUACCUCCUAAAGUGGCUGAACGUCAACCAAUUCUUUUCGGUACAGUGACUCUGCAUUCCUUCCAUCUCUUUUUGAUGCUUCCCGAGUUGUUCAAUUUUUUGCCCAUAAAACCCUUCAGUAUUGCAACUGGAGGCUUGAAUUUUUUCUUCAGUUCUUUCAGCUUGAGAAAUGUUAAGUGUGUUCUUCCCUUUUGGUUUUCUAACUCCAGGUCCUGGCGUAUUUCAUUACAAUGCUUUACUUUGUCUUCUUGAGGCACCCUUUGAAAUCUUCUGUUUAGCUGUUUUACUUCAUCAUUUCUUCCUUUUGCUUUAGCUACUCUAUAUUAAAGGGCAAGUUUCGGAAUCUUUUCUGACAUCCGUUUUGGUCUUUUUUUUUUUUUUUUCUUUUCCGCCCUUUUUAGGACCCUUUGCUUUCUUCAUGUGUAAUGUCCAACUUGUCUGGUGUUUGGUCAUUAAUGUUCAAUGCGUCAAAUCUAUUUUUGAGGUGGUCUCCAAAUUCAGAUGGGUCCUACGUUGGCUCUUGUGGAUUUUUCAUUUUCUUCAGCUUCAACUUGAAUUUCCAUAUGAGCAAUUGAUGGUCUUUUCUGCAGCUGGCAUCUAGCACCCUUGUUCUGACUGAUGAUAUUGAGCUUCUCCGUGGUCUCUUUCCACAGAUGUGGUUGAUUUGAUUCCUGUGUUUUUCAUCUGAUGGGGUCCAUGUAUAUAGUCGCUAUUUAUGUUGUUGAAAAAAGGUAUUUGUAAUGAAUAAGUCAUUGAUCUUGCAAAAUUCUAUCAUGUGAUCUCCAAUGUUGUUUCCGUCACCAAGGCCACAUUUUCCAAAAGCUGAUGCUUCUUUUUUGUUUCCAGCUUUUGCAGUAAUUAUCAUCAGUGCAUCUUAAUUGCGUGUUUGAUCAACUUCAGACUGCAGAAGUUGGUAAAAGUGUUCAAUUUCUUCAUCUUUGGCAUUAGUGGUUGGUGCAUAAAUUUGAAUGAUAGUCAUAUUAAUUGGUCUUCCUUGUAGGUGUCUGGAUAUUAUUCUAUCACCGACAGUGCUGUAUUUCAGGAUAAAUCUUGAAAUGUUCUUUUUGAUGGUGAAUGUGAUGCCAUUCCUCUUCAAUGUGUCAUUCCUAGCUUAGUAGACCAUAUGAUCGUCCGAUUUGAAAUGGCUAAUACCAGUCCAUUGCAGCUCACUAAUGCUUAGGAUAUCGAUCUUCAAACAUUCCAUUUCAUUUUUGACAACUUCCAAUUUUCCUUGAUCCAUACUUUGUACAUCCCUUUUUCCGAUUAUUAAUCAUUCUGAUUAUUAAUGGAUGUUUGCAGCUGUUUCUUCUCAUUUUGAGUCAUGCUGUAUCAGCAAAUGAAGGUCCCAAAAGGUUUACUCCACCCAUGUCAUUAAGGUCAACUCUACUUUAAGGAGGCAGCUCUUCCCCAGUUGUAUUUUGAGUGACUUCCAACCCGGGGGGCUCAUCUUCUGGUACUAUAUCAGACAAGUCUGUCUUCAUCUAGAAGCUUGGCUGAAACCUGUCCACCAUGCGUGUGAUGGUUAACAUUGUGUGUCAACUUGGCUAGGCCAUGAUUCUCAGUGUUUUGGCAGUAGUAUAAUGUUGUGAUCACUUCCCCCUUGAAAUACAAUAUGUGAUCAUUCCCAUGUGUGAGUAGCCAAUCAGUUGAAAGGGAGUUUCCUUGGGCAGGUGGUCUGCAUCUAAUGUUAAGUGGACAUUCUAGCAAGGCUUGGAGAUUCUUUGCUUGUGAUUGAUCCUGCAGCUGGAUCCUGUGUGUCCGACCCCCAAUUCUUGGAACUUGAGCUAGCAGGUUGCCUGUGAUCUUGCCUGCCGAUCUUGGGAUUCAUUGAUCUUCACAGCCUGUGAGCAAGAGCUCUGCUCUCUGACCUGCUGAUCUUGGGUUUGCCAGCCCCUGCAGCUGCGUGAAUCAGGAGAGGCCUCUAUUCUGACCUAAGGACUUGGAACAUUUAAGCCUCUACAACCAUGUAGGCCAUUUCCUUGAUAUAAAUCUCUCUACAAAUAUAUUUACACACUUCACUGGUUUUGCUUCUCUGAGAACCCAGCCUAAGACAAUGGGUGACCCUGCUGAUACUUGAAAUACUGGUGGCAUAGCUUCCAGCAUCACAGCUACAUACAAGCCACCACAGUACGACAAACUGAGAGACGAGUGGUAGAAUUAAAUAUCAAUAUUUUUAGUUUUUUAAAAGUUAAUCAUCUUGGAUGGAACUUUCUACAGCUGGUGAUAAAAAUUCCUAAUUUAUUAAACUAAAUGGAUUUCUACUUAAUCAUUUAUUGAUGAUCCAAUGUAAACAUCUUGUAGAUCAAACAUUUUACACACAGAGCAUAAUUCAGUGAGUCUACAGGUUCAACUAACUUAUUUUACUUUAAAACAGAAUAAAAUGAGAAAAAUAUGACACUCUUUGAGAAAGGAAAAUAUGACACCAGAUAUGAGUCCUUCUGUAAGAAUGGAAACUGUUUUAAUUAAAGAAAAGCUAUGAAGCUUUUCUAGCUAGAGGUAAAAGUACUUUGAAAAUUCAGAUGCUGUACUAUAUAAAAUAUCUUAGUCUGUGCAGAUGACAAAACUAAGUUUAUGACUUAGUAAACUACUCAGAGUGCCUUAAAAUGAUAAAGCAAUUAAGUUGCCAAAUAAGAUUUAAUUUUACCAAGCUCAACUCUCCAUCACACACACACACACACAUGAAUUUUCUGUUGUUUCUUCACACUCCUGUACAGAGAGAAAAUCUCUAUCACUACAGAGCCCACAUUCACUGUUUAUCUCUUUAUCUCUACGUUAGAAUGGACAUCAAGGUUCGUAAGACAGCUUUAAUUGUGAGAUGUCCUAAAACAGGUGUAGCUGGAGUCAGCCCAGGAGAGUUGAUAAGUUAUAUUUACUUCUAAACUUACAAUGAUCUUAUUUUGUUUGGUUUGGGUUAGAGCUAAGCCCCUCCUUUCCAAUUAAAAACCUCCAGUGUAACUUUUUGUUUUGUUUUUAAUUGAAUAGGAUUUUAAAAAUUGAUUAUACUCACUGACAAAUGUAUGAGACAUAAAUGUACAUGUUAAAGAAUAAAAAUUAAGUCAGGGCUCUGUGUAGCCUCUUGGAAGUUAAGAAGUAAAACAUUGACAGAAGUUCCCUGUGUGGGCCUCCGCAAUCACUCACCCUUCCCUACACCGUUGAGGGAUCACUGUCCUGACUUGGAGUAUCAUUUCCUUGGUUUUCUUUAGCUUUACCACCUGUGUGCACUCCUAAACAAAGCAGUGUUUAGUUUUGUCUGUUUUGAAUUUAGUAUAAAUGGAAUCAUUUGCAUAUUUUUUCUGUGACUUUCAUCUUUCAGUAUUGUGUCUGAGUGUCAUCUAUGUUGAUACAUCUAACUGUUAGUUUGUUAUUUUCACUACUGGUUAAUAUUCCCUUUUAUAAAUAUACAAUAAUUAUAUAUUCUAUACUUGACAUUUUGAUUGCUUCCAGUUUUUUAAUUGUUAUGAACAAUGCUACUGUGAACAUUCCUGCAUGUGUGUCCUAGUGCAAGAGUUCUCUAGAGUAUAUAACUGGGAGCAGAAUUGCAGAGUCAUAGGAUAUGUAUGUUGUCCAGUCCAGGUGGUGGUGCAGUGGUCAAGAGAGUGGCUGCUAAUCCAAAAGGUUGGCAGUUCAAAUUCACCAGCCGCUCCUUGGAAACCCUAUGGGACAGUUGUACCCUGUCCUAUACAGUUGCUAUGCGUCAGAAUCAACUUGACAGCAACGGUUUUGUUUUUUUGUUUUUUUUUUUUUGGUUAAUCUUAUUAAACUCUCUUAUGAAUUUUUAUCAUUUAUACGCUCUCAGAUUUUCUACAUAUACAAUCAAAUCAUUUGCAGUUUUGUCAUUUCCAGUGAGUGCGCGUGUGUGUUUCCCACAUUAAUGCACUGGCUAGACCCUCCAGUAUAAUGUUGAGUUGUUGUUAGGUGCUGUCGAGUCGGUUCCGACUCAUAGUGACCCUAUGCGCAACUGAAGGAAACACUGCCCAGUCCUUUGCCAACCUCACAGUUGUUGCUAUGUUUGAACCCAUUGUUGCAGCCACUGUGUCAAUCCAUCUUGUUGAGGGUUUUCCUCUUUUUUGCCGACCCUCUACUUUACCAAGCAUGAUGUCCUUCUCCAGGGACUGAUCCCUCUGAUAACGUGGCCAAAGUAUGUAAGACGUAGUCUCUCCAUCCUUGCUUCUAAGGAGCAUUCUGGCUGUACUUCUUCCAAGGCAGAUUUGUUCGUUCUUUUGGCAGUCCAUGAUAUAUUCAAUAUUCUUCGCCAGCACCACAAUUCGAAAGCAACAAUUCUUCUUUGGUCUUCCUUAUUCAUUGUCCAGCUUUCACAUGCGUAUGAGGCAACUGAAAACACCAUGGCUUGAGUCAGGGUCACCUUAGUCCUUAAAGUGACAUCUUUGCUUUUCAACACUUUAAAGAGGUCUUUUGCAACCAAUUUGCUCAAUGCAAUGCGUCUUUUGAUAUCUUGACUUCUGUUCCAUGGGUGUUGAUUGUGGAUCCAAGUAAAAUGAAAUCCUUGGCAACCUCCACCUCCUCUCCCUUUGUCUUGAUGUUGCUUAUUGGUCCAGUCGUGAGGAUUUUUGUAUUCUUUACGUUGAGGUGUAAUUCAUACUGAAGGCCGUGGUCUUUGAACAGAAAUUGUUAUAUUAGCCAGCCUAUCUUGUUUUUGAUCUCAAAUCAAAUGAUUUCAGGAUCUCACCAUGAUGCAUAAUAUUUUCUGCAGCCUUUUUUUCCCCUCUGAAAUUAGUGAGACGAGCAUAUGGUUUUUCUCCUUUUGUCUGUUAAUAUGGUUAAUUACAUUAAUUUGCUUUUUAAUGUUGAGCAAACUUUCAUUCUUGAGAUAAAUCAAACUCGGUCAUGUAUUUUAGUAUCUGUGUUAAUGAGUGAUAUUGGCCUGCUCUUUUCCUUUCUUGUAUUCAUUAUCCUUGUCAAGUUAUAGCUGGGUUAUAAUAACCUCAUAAAAUAGGUUACAGAGGAUACCCACUUCUUCUAUUUUCUCAAACAGUUUGUGUAAGAUUGGAAUUAUUUGUUUCUACAUUGGUUUUAAUAAAUUGGUUCAGACUGUCUCUAAACAUCUGUGUCAAAUACUUUAAUAUAUAUUAUCUUAUUUAGUGUAUUUAAUUGUUCAGUCCGGGGACUAAAAGGGGACUGAAGCCAAAAUAGGUUAUCUAACUGCCUAAAGAUUACAUAGCUACUAAGUGGCAGGCCAGAACUUGAAUCAAGACUUCCUGACUCUGACUUCAGUUGUUCACUGUAUGACACCAGAUUUUUAGUAAUGCUCUCAAGAAUUAUUGAUAUCUUGGCUGUUGUGCUUUUAAAUUCCUUCAAACUUUUUUUUUCAUGGUGUUUGUCUCUUCCUUUGAUGUUAUUUCUUGCUGCUGACACUUUUCUCCCUUCUUUUUGUUGCUCCGAUAUUUCUUUAUGUCAUUUCUAAUAUGUUUUACUCCCAGAAACAAUCAUAGGUUACUAUUUUGUAACCUAAUAGUAAAUAUGCUCUGAGUGUCUGAGAGAUAAUCCUAGAAGUAAAGUGUAUGAGCAUCAUAACAUCUAUUUCAGAUGCUCAGAGCUUCUGUCAUUCUUUGUGCUCCUCUGGGUCCUAAAGAUUUCAGGUUGCCAGAUUGUUAAUUAUCUUUCCAUGUAUGUGUCCUACACUUUGCUACUCAAAGCAUGGUCCAUGGACUAGCAAAAUUCACAUCUUCUGGGAGCAUGUUAGCAGCAAAGCAAAAUUUCAGGCCCCACCCCAGAACUAAUGAAUCAGAAUCUGCAGUUUAAUAAGAUCCCAGGUAAGUCGUAUACACAUUAAAGUCUGAGAAGCACUGGCCUAUAUCAUUAAAAAAAAAUAGGUUAAAAAAUCUUUAAGAGUUUCUUAUACCUUUUCACAUCUCCAGUUGGAAGCACAAUGUCUUACAGAAAAGCAGGUACUCAUGAAAUGAAGGCUAUUAUGAUUUGUAAAACAUAGGCCAGAAACUCCAUAUAUUGUUUAAUUUCAAUAGGCCUCAGUUUCUCAUCUAUAAAAUGAAAGGUUAUAAUUUAAAAAUUUCCUCUAAUGACCCAGUCAAUUCCAAAAUGCCAUGACACUAAUGGCAGUGAUAAAUAGUAAUUUAUAGUUAAAGUAUAGAGCCCUAGUGGUGCAAUAGUUAAGAGGUCAGGCUGCUAACCAAAAGGUUGGCCGUUCAAAUUCACCAGCUGCUCCUUAGAAACCCUCUGGGGCAGUUCUACUCUGUCCUGUAGGAUUGCUAUGAGUUGGAAUGAACUCAUUGGCAGUGGGUAUAGUUAAAAUAUUAUUUCUACUAAGAAGUAAUGAUAAUUAUAAUUUGAAUUGUGCUGAGAUAUUUUCUUUGCAAAAAAUUUUCAGCACCAAUUAUGUAAUGGUGUUAAAUGAAAUAUGUAAUAUAUUAAAAAGUAUCAGCUGCAUCCAAAUAGAUUGCUAUUCUUAAAAUAUGACUUGGGAAAAGAUGGAUUAAAAAAAGAAAAAGUUUCUUUUCCUCAAGCAGCAAAGGUGCAAUAACAGGGGCCAACAAACUGUGUUAAAGAGCCGGUAUAAUAGCAAAUUAGAAACCACAAUAUGGGUAAAAUAUAUGAGAUAAUGUUUUGAUUUCAGGGGCAUCAUGUUAAAUUUUGAAAGCAGAACUAAUAUAUUCUACCUAGCUGCCUAGACUUUCAAAAUUAUCUAGCAAUUUAUAUUCAUUCCCACCUUGAAAAUUCCAAAGGUAGAGAAGGGAUAGGAAACAGCAGAGUUAGAGGACUGCCCCAUUUCAGAGAGUAUCUAGCAAACCUAAAAAUAAGACAUUUCAUAAUUGGAUGUGCUUGCUGUGUCCAUCAUUGGAAAACCCAGCAUCUUCUUUGUUAAGAACUUGUACUUGAAUAAGAACUUGAAUUUUUAUUCUUAUACUGCAUCCUAAUCAUCACUGUAGAAACCAUUGUUCGCAGCCCACAAAAGAAUCAAGUUUUACUCAUGAUUACCACUUACAGUUUUGAUUCCUUUGAUCUUCACAUCUACUUGUUUGAUGGUUCUGGUCCCUAAAUUAGACAUUUGGUAUUGUUGGUCAGCCUUGAAACUUCAAAGACAACAAGCUGCCCAUCCAUCUGCAACACUGUUGUUAACGUCCCUUGUGUUCUCAGAUUGCAGACUGUCUGUUCUGAAAGAUGAAUGACCAAUCUAUUCUAAGCCUGAGUAAAAUAACUGACUAGUCUUAGGGCAACCAUGACAGUCACUCAUGAGUCUGACCGUGCCUAUGCAGAAUGCCAAACACCAUACUUAAAAAGUAAGUUUAGUGGGGACUUGGUAUAUUCCACACCAUCUUGGAGAAGCACCGUUUUGCUUGUUUGUUUUGUAUUGGCUGUGGGGUUUGUGUGUGUGUGCAUACCGGGAAUAAGAAAUGAAACGCCUUACUAAUAUCUUACAUUGGCUUUGCUGAAUUUAGCCUUUGCAUACUGUAUGUAUUGGCUUUGGGAGGUUUUGCUUACCUGAUCAUCUGCAGUGAACAAUGUCACAUUUUUUCACCACAUCAAAGAUUCUGCUUCUAGGUAUGGCUGGCAUCUCUCUGUUUCCCAACUCCAUAGUACCUUUCUAAAGAAUCAAGCCUCUUUUCAAAUUUACAAUCCCUGACAGGGGCAGAUGACCAAGUAAGCACGUGAAACCCCUGAGAAACUGUUCACUACAUUGGAUAAUCCGCCCCUUUUGCAAUCAUCCCUCGCCUAUGGAGAGUAGGUGGGCCAGUGGACUAGGGGACAACCCAGUCACCCAAAGAAAUCCAAACGUAAAGGCCGCCCGGGGUCACGGCGGGACGCACAACCACUCAAUUUCUAAGCUGGGAAAACUUAGGAAACUCGCUUGGGCUCCACCAGGGUCACGCAGCAGUUCCAUGGCAGGAAUUGUGCAAUGGGGCAAGUCGGACAGGCGUGCGGGGGAGGGGUGUGCAAAGAACCAGGGGAGGCUUCUACAGUGCCAACUUUUUUUUCUUUUAGAUAAGGGCGUUCUGCCUGGCUCCAAGUCAAGGCCAAGAAAGCGUCGCUUCUCUACAGGGGCCAGGGUCGGGGAGGUGUGUUAAUACCAAUAUCAUCUCUUCUGUUGACCCAAGACUAGCACCACUGCGCUUCCUCCAAAUCCUCGAGGGGUGGCCGGGGAAGAGGGGUCCGAGUACGUGCGGGCACCGCGCAGCAGGACGCAGACUGGCCACCUGGAUCGCGGCUAGGAACCCGGGCUCGCGGGGCUUCGCGACAGAGACUCAGACUUUCGGUAAGGGCACCGGGGCUUCCUGCUGCGCGGCGCCCCCGCCCCCGCCAUUCCGCCUCACACUUUCGGAUGGUGACGCAGCUGGGCCGGCUACGCUGAAGUCUGCACGGAAACCCGGAACCUCCUGGGCCGCCGGCCACCUCCUUCCCUCCUCCGCUGGGGCCCCUGGCGAGCGCCGCCCUUCCGCGCCUGGGGAGGGGCGCGCUGGGCUCCGGAGCCCCACGCUCCAGGGAGUAGGCGACUGAGUGUCAAGGAAGGAGCGAAGACUUGGGAAACGUUACAAGAGUUAACGUUACUGAGCAGUCUCUGUGCAGGCGCGGUGAUAAACCUUUGGUCAUAUUUAUUACUCAUGGUGUCCUUAUAUUUGUGACGUACGUACUGUUUUUAAUUCCACUUAACCCGUUACAGUCAAUUUCGUCUCGUAGCGACUCUACAGGACCGAGUAGAACUGCCUAGAGGUGAGGAAACAUGCUCAGAAAAGAUAAGCUAUUACUGACUUGCAGUCAAGCAAAAAGCAGAGACCUGCCUAUCAAAUCUAGGUUUGUCUUGACACAGCUAUAUCGCACUUCCCUUGGAUCAGCCGCUUUAAGACUUUCAUUCCAGGGAGCUGGAAACAGUUAACAGGUGGGAAAGCGCUCCCAGGAACAUCUGUGCACUCACCCUCCUUACCACUGGAAAGGAGACCUGCACAGUCAUUCUAGGUCAACACCCUCUCUCGCAGAUGAGAAAUUUAAUCUACUCACCGAGAAAAUACUUAGCUCCCACAGCCAUCUAGUUAGUGACAGACACGAAGACAGGAGCCCUGUUUACUGGUCACAUGCAAAGGCUCGUGCCUUCUCACCCUCCUUCAGAAGCUUCAGACCAGCUCUGAGGCCCGAACGUGACUCCCCCGGAGACCUGAGAGCUGUGGUGUGGGCGGGGACCUCCGGGAAGACGAACAGCGGAAGUCCAGUCACCGCUGUCGCGGCCUUCCUGCGCUCCUGGAGAGGGGGACCCCGCGCGUCGGGCCCUGGGCCGGUCCUACAGGCCUGAACUUCCCCGUAGGCGGAAACUCGGCCCCUUCUGGUAACUUGAAGACUAACUGCAACCUAGUAAAAGAUAAAAACGUGUGCGUGUGUAGUUCGGACUGUGAUUUGUCCCAGUAAGCGUAGAUUAAGGUGAGGAAUGAAGGCUUACAGAAAUUCGGCAUCUUGCUCAACAUUCCACAGCAAGGGAAGCCAGGACUAAAUGAAAUACUAUACAUAUAAAAUAUUUAGCACAGUGCUGGGCAGGUAGAUUAUUGAACAAAUUGUGAGAGAUUCAGCAUUAAGUACAAAUGAGUGAAAGAAAUUAAGAUGGAGCAGUUGUAAGGUACAUAAAGUACAUGUUAUAAAUUUCCAUAUAUUUAAUGGACAUAUAACUAAAAUUUAAUUCUGAACUUCCUAACAAAUCAAAUGGAAAAAUACAAUCAUUGACAAGCACCCUUGCCCAAGAGGAGUAUAGCUGUUUCUGGAGCUGAGACCUAAAGGUACUUUUUUAGGACAUGCAAUUUAACCCUCUAGCAAGAAAUCCAGAGGAUGAAGCAAACGCACUGUAGGUGACUCUUAGAAGCAUGGGAAAAAAAAAAAAAAAAAGUGAUGGUCAAA